rnacentral:rRNA from 1 species
AUUGAACGCUGGCGGCAGGCUUAACACAUGCAAGUCGAGCGGGGUGAUGGUGCUUGCACUAUCACUUAGCGGCGGACGGGUGAGUAAUGCUUAGGAAUCUGCCUAUUAGUGGGGGACAACAUCUCGAAAGGGAUGCUAAUACCGCAUACGUCCUACGGGAGAAAGCAGGGGAUCACUUGUGACCUUGCGCUAAUAGAUGAGCCUAAGUCGGAUUAGCUAGUUGGUGGGGUAAAGGCCUACCAAGGCGACGAUCUGUAGCGGGUCUGAGAGGAUUAUCCGCCACACUGGGACUGAGACACGGCCCAGACUCCUACGGGAGGCAGCAGUGGGGAAUAUUGGACAAUGGGGGGGACCCUGAUCCAGCCAUGCCGCGUGUGUGAAGAAGGCCUUAUGGUUGUAAAGCACUUUAAGCGAGGAGGAGGCUCUUUUGGUUAAUACCCAAGAUGAGUGGACGUUACUCGCAGAAUAAGCACCGGCUAACUCUGUGCCAGCCGCCGCAGUAA